UUAGAGUUUGAUCCUGGCUCAGGAUAAACGCUGGCGGCAUGCCUAACACAUGCAAGUCGAACGGGAUCGGAAAUAAUUUUAUUGUUUUCGUGAGAGUGGCGAACGGGUGAGUAGCACGUAGAGACCUACCUUCCAGAGCGGGAUAGUCCCCGGAAACGGGGUUUAAUACCGCAUAAACCGGAUAGGCAAAGCGAUAGCGCUGGGAGAUGGAUCUGCGCACCAUUAGCCAGCUGGCAGGGUAACGGCCUGCCAGGGCGACGAUGGUUAGCCGGCCUGAGAGGGUGGACGGCCACACUGGAACUGAGAGACGGUCCAGACUCCUACGGGAGGCAGCAGUGGGGAAUAUUGCGCAAUGGAGGCAACUCUGACGCAGCAAUGCCGCGUGGGUGAAGAAGGGAUUCGUCCUGUAAAGCCCUGUUGUCGGGGAAGAGUUAAGACGGUACCCGGCGUAUGAGCCCCAGCCAACCACGUGCCAGCAGCUGCGGUAACACGUGGGGGGCGAGCGUUAUCCGGAUUUAUUGGGCGUAAAGGGCACGCAGGCGGCAGCGAAGGUGCGGUGUUAAAACCCGGGGCCCAACCCCGGGUUGCACGGCAAACCGUGCUGCUGGAGUGAAGCAGAGGCAGGCAGAAUUCCUGGUGUAGCGGUGAAAUGCGCAGAGAUCAGGAGGAAUACCGGUGGCGGAGGCGGCCUGCUGGGCUUAUACUGACGCUGAGGUGCGAAAGCGUGGGGAGCGAACAGGAUUAGAUACCCUGGUAGUCCACGCCGUAAACGAUGAACGCCAGGCCUUGGGAGUUUUUUCAGGGCCGCCGCAAACGCAAUGAGCGUUCCGCCUGGGGAGUACGGCCGCAAGGCUGAAACUCAAAGGAAUUGACGGGGACCCGCACAAGCAGCGGAGCAUGUGGUUUAAUUCGAUGCAACGCGAAGAACCUUACCAGGCCUUGACACAGGGGGGGAGUUAGCUGGAGACAGUUAGCGCACGCAAGUGCCCCCCUGCAGGUGGUGCAUGGUUGUCGUCAGCUCGUGUCGUGAGAUGUUGGGUUCAGUCCCGCAACGAGCGCAACCCCUGUUUUCGGUUGCCAGCAGGUUAGGCUGGGCACUCCGGGGAGACUGCCGCAGCUAAUGCGGAGGAAGGCGGGGAUGACGUCAAAUCAUCAUGCCCCUUACGGCCUGGGCGACACACGUGCUACAAUGGCCGGCGCAGCGGGAGGCGAAGGAGCGAUCCGGAGCGAAUCCCCAAAGCCGGUCCCAGUUCGGAUUGCAGGCUGCAACCCGCCUGCAUGAAGCCGGAGUUGCUAGUAAUCGCAGAUCAGCAUGCUGUGGUGAAUACGUUCCCGGGUCUUGCACUCACCGCCCGUCA
rnacentral:rRNA from 1 species